rnacentral:misc_RNA from 1 species
UAUUUUCUCAUUCCUCGUUGAGCAGUAAGCUGAACUAAACUUGUUUGAUCAAACUUCAAUUUUCAAUUGCUAAGCUCUUCAUGAAAUCUUGUAAUCUGCUCGCAAUUUCUAGUUUAGGUGCAGCGCGGUUUGCUUAAUAGGUGAUCUUGAUUGCUUCUCUAUUCUGUGUUCAUUUAGGAUCUUCUCAAUGCAGAUGUGAAAACAUGUCUCGUUUUGAUCUUUAUUUGUUUGUUAUGUUUGCAAUGCUCAAAUGUAUUUAUUGUAGCUGUUCCUCGUUGUAAUUGCUAUCUGUGGAGCUGGCUUUGUAUCAUCAUUAGGCGAAGACUUUUAAUGGUGGCAUUCUCUAAUCAGAAACCUAGUGACUUGGGUUUUUUCUUUUUUGGUUUUGCAAGUGCUGGAUCCCUUCAGACUUUGAGGAUGCCAAGAAGCGAAAUAAGUGAUUCAAUUGUUGAACAGAUUGCUGGAAGACUUUCAACAAUCACUUUCUUGGA